UAUGUUUAUAUUGCGGAGAACCUAAGCACACUGCUCAACAUUGUCCAAAGAAACGACGCAACUAUAAAAUGAGGGGUACGACGGUCAAAGAAGACAACAUGUCGGAAAACGGAUUCGUCCAGCUAUAAUAGGGACCGUGCAGCUGGAACCUUGUACAAUUCCUAAUGAAGGUCCUAUCCUCUCCUCAGAACCCUCUCUUUGUUUUAUAAUAGACUUAUAUUUAGGACCUAAGAAUUACAAAGCCUCUGCUUUAUUAGAUUCGGGAG
rnacentral:lncRNA from 1 species